rnacentral:lncRNA from 1 species
UCGGGGGCCAUAUUAACCGAGCCGUGGGCCCUGCUGCGGCAGUGCUUAAGGUUUUCGAUGCUGUUCAUGGACUUGAAAAGUCCCUACUAUCAGAUCCCAGGAACGAUCUUCCUGGGUAUUUAUCGGUGUUGAAACGCCUUGAAGAGGCAUUAAAGUUUCUGGGUGAUAAUUGCGGAUUGGCAAUUCAAUGGUUAGAAGAUAUAAUUGAGUAUUUGGAGGAUAACAGAGUUGCUGAUGGACGGUACCUGUUGAAUAUGAAGACCUAUCUCAAGGGCUUAAGGGAGUUGCAAAAUGACGGGGAAAGAGUACAUCUUGAUGGUGGGCUUUUGGAUGCUGCAUUGGAUAAACUGGAAAAUGAGUUUAGAAGACUAUUGAUGGAGCAUAGUGUGCCACUUCCAAUGUCAUCGCCGCCACUUGGUGAACAGGCAUGCAUUGCACCAUCGCCCUUACCUGUGACUGUUAUUCAGAAGUUGCAAGCGAUUCUUGGUAGGCUGAUUGCUAAUAAUAGACUUGAGAAGUGCAUUGCAAUCUACGUUGAAGUUCGUAGUUCAAACGUCAGAGCUAGCUUGAAGGCACUUGAUUUGGAUUAUCUUGAGAUCUCAGUCUCAGAGUUCAAUGAUAUGCAGAGCAUAGAGGGGUAUAUAGGACAGUGGGGAAAACAUUUGGAGUUUGCAGUAAAGCAUUUGUUUGAGGCAGAGUUCAAGCUUUGCAAUGAUGUUUUCGAGAGGAUUGGCUUGGAUGUUUGGAUGGUUUGUUUUGCAAAAAUAGCUGCACAAGCUGGUAUUCUUGCAUUUCUUCAGUUCGGAAAGACUAUUACGGAGAGUAAGAAAGAACCUAUAAAGCUUCUCAAGCUAUUGGACAUAUUUGCAUCUUUGAACAAAUUGAGAUUGGAUUUCAAUAGGCUCUUUGGGGGAGCAGCAUGUAUUGAGAUCCAAAACCUGACAAGAGAUCUCAUCAAGAGGGUUAUUGACGGCGCAGCCGAAAUUUUCUGGGAGAUCUUUGUUCAGGUAGAAUUACAGAGGCAGAGCCCUCCUCCUCAGGAUGGGAGCAUUCCAAAAUUGGUGAGUACUAUAACUGAUUACUGCAAUAAACUUCUUGGUGAUGAUUAUAGGCCGAUCCUGACCCAGGUUCUUGUCAUUCACCAAAGUUGGAAGCAUAAAAAAUUCCAGGAGAUGAUCCUUGUAAAUGAGGUUUCGAAAAUAAUAAAGGCCGUCGAUUUGAAUUUGGAUACAUGGAUGAAGGCAUAUGGUGAUACUACCCUUUCUUGUCUUUUUGCCAUGAACUGCCACUGGCAUCUAUACAAAGACUUAAAGGGAACAAAAGUUGGAGAGCUCAUGGGAGAUUCUUGGUUGAAAGAACAUGUAGAGUACAAGGAGUAUUAUUCUGCUGUCUUCUUUAAAGGGAGUUGGGCUAAGCUCCCUGUUCAUUUAAGCCGUGAAGGGUUAAUUAUGUUCUCAGGCGGUCGUGCCAGUGCUCGUGAUCUUGUAAAGAAAAGGCUCAAGACUUUUAAUGAAGCUUUUGAUGAAAUGUAUAGAAAGCAGUCUGGUUGGGUUAUCCCAGAAAGAGAUUUGAGGGAGAAGACAUGCCAACUAAUAGUGCAGACAGUUCUACCUGUUUAUCGAAGCUAUAUGCAAACUUAUGGGCCAUUAGUAGAGCAAGAUGCAAGUUCCAGUAAGUAUGCAAAGUACACAGUGCAGGGGUUGGAACAAAUGCUCCUUUCUCUUUUUCUACCGAGGCGGGAAAGGUACGGCAGUUUCAAAGGUAGGCCAACAGGCAGCAAAAUUGAUAAUGGGGUAGAUCUUCGCCGGACUGCAUCAGCUGUUGCGUGAUUGUCCAAUCUAUUUAUGUCGCGGUGGUUAAAAUGUUCAUGUUUUAGAGGUUUAAUCUUAUAUCUUGUACAUAUCAGUGUUCUUAGGGCGGAGGUAGAACUAUUCUCCAUCAUUCAUCCUUUGCCCUUGGACAGCACAUGCUUUGGACAUUUGACAUUUCAUUACUCAAGGAGUUGCCAGAAUUUGAUGUGUGAAGCAGAUUUUGCUUUGUCAACUGUAAAGCAAAUGUAGGGUGGGAUUGGGGGACAUAACAAGCAAGAACAGUGUUGGGUUGGUAGAUAAGAGAAUAACAUCCAGGUAUAGCAUUUCAAGUUUAAUUUCAUAUUUAUGUUUAUUUAAUUAUAUAGUUGAUAGCUUGUUUGGGAUAAAAGCAUUGUAAUUUAGUGGAUUUCAUGUACAAAUAUUGUGACAUAAAAAGUGGAAACUGAAGGGGCUAGCUGUGAUUAAUUAAUUUAUGAAGAGAUCAACAUUCCCUAGAGAAUCAACUUUGAUGAGAUGCCUUAUUAUUUUGUGCUAUUAGGAUGGGGUGUACGUGUCGUUGAGAACUUACCUUCCUCAGUUCCUCUGCAUUGGGAAUAAAGUGUUGGGCUGUUUCUUGGAUUAUUUUUACUUAUUAGAGAAUAAAUAUAGAUGUUCCUCCUUCAAAUUUAUUUCAGCAUCUUCUUUAUCCUUUUCUUUCUCUUUCUUCAUCUACCAUAUUUUGGAGCUGUGCUUUUGUUUUCCUCAUAUCCUGCUGAUGUAUACAUACAUACCUACAUUAUUAUUUACAACGAAACUAUAUUAUUAUUAGGUGUUUUGUCGUUUUAAGAUAAAUAAUAUAUUGUAUUGUAUUAUUAUAUAAUCCUCUAUUUGUUGUUCAUGUCAAAUAUAAAUUGUCCAUGCAGUUGUUUGUUCACGUGUUUGUAGUGUAUCAAUGCCUAUUACAUAACUUAAAACUAGUGUAUCAAUGCUGAUGGAAUGAGACAACUUUAGAGUUGGGUGGCCAGUGCAAAAUGCAAGUUUCAUAUGCUAUAUGCCCUCACAAGACUACCUCCCUCGUUCAUCAAACAAUUAUUCUCUCUAUCAUCUGUGCGUCUCAUUUACACGUUGUCCUUACAUAAUAAUUUAUAAUCAGAAAAAAAGACAUAAAUACUCUUUAUAAAAUCUUCAAAAGCUUACGAGGUUUCUCUCUCUCUUUCUCCCUAUCAACAAUCUUUCUUCCUCAUCUUAUAAUUCUCGAUCAUUUAAAUGAACUGUCAUCAACUACCAUGAUCUUAAUCUAAUAUCAAUAAUGUUAAAAAAAAGAGUAAAGUACAAAAAAUUCACAAUUUGAUUCAGUGGUGAAAUUAGGGGUUACCAAGGGCCCCAACCAAGCUGCUUUAAUUUUUUUAAAAUUUUAAAUUAGUAAAAUUCUUUAAAAAUAUAAAAAUUAAUUUAAUCUUUUAAAAAUUAUAAAAUUAUAUUUUUUUAUCGUAAAAAUUAUAAUAUAAUUUCGAUAUUUUGCCUUUGAUUUGGUUAAAAGUUUAAGGGUAGUAAUAAUUUUGGAAUAUGAGUUUGAGGUUGGGCAAUGGUUUUAUUUAUUUCACCACACAAUUUCCAUCAUUAGCUCUGCUUGUUUUUCAGCUUGCAUUUAAAUAUUGAUAAACCAAGAGAGUGAUAAAUGAAUCAAUUUAUAUAUAGUGAGAGAGAGAUGAUGAAAUUGCAGUAAAAUGGAGUCGAUCUUUAGUAUGACAUGAAGACAAAUGUACUGUGUCCUGAAGCUAUAAAUGAACCAAACACGAUUCCAUAGGCAAACCAUUGGCGGCGAUUUCUACAAUGCAAAUAUAUAUUACUCCUUUUUUCAAAAAGGGGGACAAAUUUAUUAGAUUAUUUAUACUCCCUUCUUUUCACUUUAGGGUUUCUCUCUUGGAAAUUUGGAAUCUAAAACUCACCGAUUCAGAUUCCACUCCAGCUCAGCUCUCCGGUUCACCUCGCCUCUCUCAAUCAACUAUUUCCGGAGUGAGUUUUUCUUACUCGCUUUCUCCGCCAUUCACUUUGUUUUUGGGUUUAAUUUGGUGAGAGUUCGGUAAAGAAUAAAAGAAAAAAAAAGAGAGUUUUUUCUUAAUUAAAUUCGUAUAAAAUUGAUAAAAUCGCCCAGAAAAAGUAAGCUAGGGAAAAAAAACCCCAUUGCGGUAUUGCUUGUAGAUUUUCAAAUUUGUAGUCUCAGUUCACUCAUAGUUAUAGUUGCAAGCUUGGGUUUUUCCGGUUUAGGGUUUUGAUUAGGAUUUUUCUUUGGGGGCUAAGAUGGACCAAUCUGCAUCUGGUAACGACUGCAAGAACAAUUUUUGUAUUGAUAAAUUGAUAGCUGCUAGAAAGUCACUGAAGCUUAGCUUAGAGAAAUCGAGAACUCUAGGAUUGGCUCUUGAAAAGGCUGGACCUAGGUUAGAGGAGAUCAACCAAAGAUUGCCUUCCUUAGAAGCUGCUGUCCGCCCGAUUCGUGCCGACAAGGAUGCACUUGUUGCUGUCGGGGGCCAUAUUAACCGAGCCGUGGGCCCUGCUGCGGCAGUGCUUAAGGUUUUCGAUGCUGUUCAUGGACUUGAAAAGUCCCUGCUAUCAGAUCCCACCAAUGAUCUUCCUGGGUAUUUAUCAGUGUUGAAACGCCUCGAAGAGGCAUUAAGGUUUCUGGGUGAUAAUUGCGGACUGGCAAUUCAAUGGUUGGAAGAUAUAAUUGAGUAUUUGGAGGAUAACAGAGUUGUUGACGGAAUG